UGAAUGACUCUCGGCAACGGAUAUCUAGGCUCUUGCAUCGAUGAAGAACGUAGCGAAAUGCGAUACUUGGUGUGAAUUGCAGAAUCCCGUGAACCAUCGAGUCUUUGAACGCAAGUUGCGCCCGAAGCCAUCAGGUUGAGGGCACGUCUGCCUGGGCGUCACAU
rnacentral:rRNA from 4 species